rnacentral:tRNA from 1 species
AAGAUUUUAAGUUAAAGUAAACUAUUAGCCUUCAAAGUUGAAAACAUUAUGAAUUUAGUAAGUCUUA